AGUGAACGCUGGCGGUAGGCCUAACACAUGCAAGUCGAACGGCAGCACAGUAAGAGCUUGCUCUUACGGGUGGCGAGUGGCGGACGGGUGAGGAAUACAUCGGAACCUACUUUUUAGUGGGGCAUAACGUAGGGAAACUUACGCUACUACCGCAUACGACCUACGGGUGAAAGCAGGGGAUCUUCGGACCUUGCGCGAUUGAAUGAGCCGAUGUCGGAUUAGCUAGUUGGCGGGGUAAAGGCCCACCAAGGCGACGAUCCGUAGCUGGUCUGAGAGGAUGAUCAGCCACACUGGAACUGAGACACGGUCCAGACUCCUACGGGAGGCAGCAGUGGGGAAUAUUGGACAAUGGGCGCAAGCCUGAUCCAGCCAUACCGCGUGGGUGAAGAAGGCCUUCGGGUUGUAAAGCCCUUUUGUUGGGAAAGAAAAGCAGCAGGUUAAUACCCCGCGGUACUGACGGUACCCAAAGAAUAAGCACCGGCUAACUUCGUG
rnacentral:rRNA from 1 species